UACGGAGGGGGCUAGCGUUGUUCGGAAUUACUGGGCGUAAAGCGUACGUAGGCGGCUUUGUAAGUUAGAGGUGAAAGCCCGGGGCUUAACCCCGGAAUUGCCUUUAAGACUGCAUCGCUAGAAUCAUGGAGAGGUGAGUGGAAUUCCGAGUGUAGAGGUGAAAUUCGUAGAUAUUCGGAAGAACACCAGUGGCGAAGGCGACUCACUGGACAUGUAUUGACGCUGAGGUACGAAAGCGUGGGGAGCAAACAGG
rnacentral:rRNA from 1 species